rnacentral:rRNA from 1 species
AGCGAACGCUGGCGGCAGGCCUAACACAUGCAAGUCGAGCGCCCCGCAAGGGAGCGGCAGACGGGAGAGUAACACGUGGAACGUACCUUUCAGUUCGGAACAACCCAGGGAAACUUGGCGUAAUACCGAAUACGCCCGUAAGGGAAAGAUUUAUCGCUGAAGAUCGGCCCGCGUCUGAUUAGCUAGUUGGUGAGGUAACGGCUCACCAAGGCGACGAUCAGUAGCUGGUCUGAGAGGAUGAUCAGCCUCAUU